CAUUAACACCGAAUUCGGACCAUAUAUACUCUUUCUAGAUAUUACCACACAAAAAUUAAAUACUUGCAGAUGCUAAAAAUGACCGUUGCUUCAAUUGCUUCAUUCUAUUGUUUCCAGGGUAAAAGAUCUUAGCAAUCGUUACAGUAGUCAUCUAAAGAGACGAGUUACUAACCAUGUGCCGAAAACUCGAUUUUACUCCAGAAAGGUGAGCUCAUAGUCUACUAAACAUAAACAGAAGAUAACUGUUGUAUGGUGUGGUAUGGUAUGGUAUGGUAUGAUGUGAUGUGAUGUGAUGUAAUAUGGUAUGG